rnacentral:rRNA from 1 species
GACGAACGCUGGCGGCGUGCUUAACACAUGCAAGUCGAACGAAGAGCGAUGGAAGCUUGCUUCUAUCAAUCUUAGUGGCGAACGGGUGAGUAACGCGUAAUCAACCUGCCCUUCAGAGGGGGACAACAGUUGGAAACGACUGCUAAUACCGCAUACGAUCUAAACUCGGCAUCGAGGAUAGAUGAAAGGUGGCCUCUACAUGUAAGCUAUCACUGAAGGAGGGGAUUGCGUCUGAUUAGCUAGUUGGAGGGGUAACGGCCCACCAAGGCGAUGAUCAGUAGCCGGUCUGAGAGGAUGAACGGCCACAUUGGGACUGAGACACGGCCCAGACUCCUACGGGAGGCAGCAGUGGGGAAUCUUCCGCAAUGGACGAAAGUCUGACGGAGCAACGCCGCGUGAGUGAUGACGGCCUUCGGGUUGUAAAGCCCUGUUAAUCGGGACGAAAGGCCUUCUUGCGAAUAGUGAGAAGGAUUGACGGUACCGGAAUAGAAAGCCACGGCUAACUACGUG